AGGUACCCCAAAGACAGAUGGUGACUGAGUUCAGAGCAACUGGCUCAUGACCAACCACCAGCAAAGAGGCUUCUGUGGAUGGAAUUAAAAACCUCCCUCCUACAGAUGUAAAAUGUGAUCUGGUCCAAACUCAUAAACUAAGACAAUCCAGGCAGGGAUAUCCCUUUUGAGUCCCUCCAUCCAGCCUGUAAAAUGGAGCCUGUUCCCCCAGCGUUUGCCUGCUGUUUCACUCUCUGAGGACCCUCUUCCAGUGGCUGCAGUUUCAUUUCUUCUUUGCUCUGUUAAUUUCUUUGCCGGGAACAAUUUUAGAAGCAAAGCGGUACAUAAAGAGAUGCUCGUACCACGCCCUAAAUGGAGUUCCCCACUUCCAGAGCAGCCAGCAAAUGGGGAAGUUGGACCAGAAUGAUCUUGCUGGCUACACAAUGCUAUCAUGAAGUACCAGCAGGCUUGCAAUCCCUCUUCACUCACCUGCUAUCAAACUCAGUCACGUUGCGCAGCUGUUUCCGGGCCAAGAUGAAGAUGUAUCGAGGUGGGGAUGUAGGAGGGACAGCAGUGUGAUAGGUUCAAAGAUUUUGGUCUAAACUCUGCAUCCAACUUCUGCCCCAGUGAGGCCCCACUGCAAUAUGAGAAAUCAAGCUUAAUAAAACAUACAGAGGGCUGUGCCACAGGCACUGAGACACAGCCAGGCUGCAGCUUGUUGGAAGGGACCGUCUCCAUUAGCGUGAAGAAAGAAGAUCCAACAACUGGAUUUAGUCUGUGGAUAUCUUAAUGUCUCUGACACCGCCAGCUUGCCUCCUCCUGCUGCCGUCCCAGCCCAGCGUGCAUUGCCGAUCACAGCACUGACGUAACGCUGUAAUUGCCAGCACGGGGACUGGGGCCAAGGGGAAUUCGCUGAGGCAGUCGGCCUCUCCAGCAGCCUGUCAGCUCCUAGGUCUGCAAUGGAAAUUAAUCACUGAAGCUCAAGGAAGCACACCUUAAACAAAAACCCCACCAGCUACACUGAAGAGGCAGGACAUGUCCAGCCUGUUGAAAUGACCUUGUAAUUAAAACUUAA